UCGAACGAAACUUCUUUAUCACCGAGUGCUUGCACUCACCGAUAAAGAGUUGAGUGGCGAACGGGUGAGUAACACGUGGGCAACCUGCCCAAAAGAGGGGGAUAACACUUGGAAACAGGUGCUAAUACCGCAUAACCAUAGUUACCGCAUGGUAACUAUGUAAAAGGUGGCUAUGCUACCGCUUUUGGAUGGGCCCGCGGCGCAUUAGCUAGUUGGUGGGGUAAAGGCUUACCAAGGCAAUGAUGCGUAGCCGAACUGAGAGGUUGAUCGGCCACAUUGGGACUGAGACACGGCCCAAACUCCUACGGGAGGCAGCAGUAGGGAAUCUUCCACAAUGGGCGAAAGCCUGAUGGAGCAACGCCGCGUGGGUGAAGAAGGUCUUCGGAUCGUAAAACCCUGUUGUUAGAGAAGAAAGUGCGUGAGAGUAACUGUUCACGUUUCGACGGUAUCUAACCAGAAAGCCACGGCUAACUACGUGCCAGCAGCCGCGGUAAUACGUAGGUGGCAAGCGUUAUCCGGAUUUAUUGGGCGUAAAGGGAACGCAGGCGGUCUUUUAAGUCUGAUGUGAAAGCCUUCGGCUUAACCGGAGUAGUGCAUUGGAAACUGGGAGACUUGAGUGCAGAAGAGGAGAGUGGAACUCCAUGUGUAGCGGUGAAAUGCGUAGAUAUAUGGAAGAACACCAGUGGCGAAAGCGGCUCUCUGGUCUGUAACUGACGCUGAGGUUCGAAAGCGUGGGUAGCGAACAGGAUUAGAUACCCUGGUAGUCCACGCCGUAAACGAUGAAUGCU
rnacentral:rRNA from 1 species